AACGAACGCUGGCGGCAUGCCUAACACAUGCAAGUCGAACGAGACCUUCGGGUCUAGUGGCGCACGGGUGCGUAACGCGUGGGAACCUGCCCUUAGGUUCGGAAUAACUCCCCGAAAGGGGUGCUAAUACCGGAUAAUGUCUUCGGACCAAAGAUUUAUCGCCUUUGGAUGGGCCCGGGUUGGAUUAGCUAGUUGGUAGGGUAAAAGCCUACCACGGCGAGGAUCGAUAGCUUGCCAGAGAGGGUGAUCAGCCACACUGGGACUGAGACACGGCCCAGACUCCUACGGGAGGCAGCAGUCGGGAAUCUUCCGCAAAAGGCGAGCGCCUGACGGAGCAACGGCGCGUGAGUGAUGAAGGUCUUCUGAUCGGAAAACUGUGUAAGUAGUGAAGAACAUAUGUGUAAGUAACCGUGCCCAUAUUGACGGUACCUAAUCAGAGAGCCCCGGCUAACUACGUG
rnacentral:rRNA from 1 species